AUUGAACGCUGGCGGCAGGCCUAACACAUGCAAGUCGAGCGAGCGGCGGACGGGUGAGUAAUGUCUGGGAAACUGCCUGAUGGAGGGGGAUAACUACUGGAAACGGUAGCUAAUACCGCAUACCAUCAGAUGUGCCCAGAUGGGAUUAGAUAGUGGGUGGGGUAAUGGCUCACCUAGGCGACGAUCCCUAGCUGGUCUGAGAGGAUGACAAGCCACACUGGAACUUAGACACGGUCCAGACUCAUACGGGAGGCAGCAGUGGGGAAUAUUGCACAAUGGGCGCAAGCCUGAUGCAGCAAUGCCGCGGGUAGGAAGAAGGCCUUCGGGUUGUAAAGUACUUUCAGUCGGGAGGCGUUACCGACAGAAGAAGCACCGGCUAACUCCGUGCCAGUAGCCGCGGUAAUAC
rnacentral:rRNA from 1 species